rnacentral:rRNA from 1 species
GCAUAUCAAUAAGCGGAGGAAAAGAAACCAACAGGGAUUGCCCUAGUAACGGCGAGUGAAGCGGCAACAGCUCAAAUUUGAAAUCUGGCUCUCGGGCCCGAGUUGUAAUUUGUAGAGGAUACUUUUGAUGCGGUGCCUUCCGAGUUCCCUGGAACGGGACGCCAUAGAGGGUGAGAGCCCCGUCUGGUUGGAUGCCAAAUCUCUGUAAAGUUCCUUCGACGAGUCGAGUAGUUUGGGAAUGCUGCUCUAAAUGGGAGGUAUAUGUCUUCUAAAGCUAAAUACCGGCCAGAGACCGAUAGCGCACAAGUAGAGUGAUCGAAAGAUGAAAAGCACUUUGAAAAGAGAGUUAAAAAGUACGUGAAAUUGUUGAAAGGGAAGCGUUUAUGACCAGACUUGGGCUUGGUUGAUCAUCUGGGGUUCUCCCCAGUGCACUCUUCCAGUCCAGGCCAGCAUCAGUUUUCCCCGGGGGAUAAAGACUUCGGGAAUGUGGCUCUCUUCGGGGAGUGUUAUAGCCCGUUGUGUAAUACCCUGGGGGGGACUGAGGUUCGCGCAUCUGCAAGGAUGCUGGCGUAAUGGUCAUCAACGACCCGUCUUGAAACACGGACCAAGGAGUCGUCUUCGUAUGCGAGUGUUCGGGUGUCAAACCCCUACGCGUAAUGAAAGUGAACGCAGGUGAGAGCUUCGGCGCAUCAUCGACCGAUCCUGAUGUUCUCGGAUGGAUUUGAGUAAGAGCAUACGGGGCCGGACCCGAAAGAAGGUGAACUAUGCCUGUAUAGGGUGAAGCCAGAGGAAACUCUGGUGGAGGCUCGCAGCGGUUCUGACGUGCAAAUCGAUCGUCAAAUAUGGGCAUGGGGGCGAAAGACUAAUCGAACCUUCUAGUAGCUGGUUUCCGCCGA